CUUAACAACAGUGACUCAUAUUGUUGACAUCUCAACGUCAUUUAGAACGAAACAAAUGUUUUUAAGAGCGAAAAACAAAAGUUUAGAAGAACCAAAAAUAAAUUAUCGAAGGUUCCAGGAUGUUUACCAUCUAAGCAGAAAUUCUACGAAUUCUACAGGAUGCGUCGCGAGACGGUCGCAGAGCGGAAGUGGAACACCUUCCGACCGAUAUACGCAACAACGUCGAUGUGGGUGGCGAUGAGGAUGUAGGUUGGGAUACAGACGAUGCUACGGGGAGUAGGCAAUAGCAUGGGGAUAGGCCGUAAUUGGUAUAAAAUCAUCGAGCAAACACAUCGGACAAGACAGCCUGAGGGUUGUGGGCGGCGUUACGUGCCGUCGCCUUGGUAACCGUGGGGCGAUUCUGCUAAAGCACCCCUUCGCCUUGAUUGCGCACAGGCCCAACCGCCCCCGUGUACGUACGCUCUGCUAUCUAUCUAUGUGUGCGUGUGUUUCGCGCGUAUACUGCGUGUUUCUAUAUGUAUACGAGUAUCCGCGAAAGCGCCAUCUGGUCUUAGCUACAUGCCAGAUUUACAAGGCGCGCUCACGGUCCGUUUUUCCUUGUAUGCGUUACACGCAUCUCCUGUCGACUAUGCGUGCAUGGAAACUAUCCUUAACCGGCGGCAUACUACCACAGAGAUCAGCUACCAUACUUUGGGAAAUAUUUCACUCUGCGCGAGUUUGUCCUAAGGUAUCGUCGAGAAUCUGUCGGAUUCCAUAAUGGCCGCUAUAACGAAAUUUAGAUUACAGUUUCGUUUCUAGAAGGAUCUAUAAUAACGUAGUAUGCAGCUUUUCGUAGAGUUAAAUCGAUGUAGAAUUUAUUUUCGAAAUAAUUUCUUGAAUUGAACUAUAACUUUAUGGUCUUUGUUUAGGGCGGAGAUUGAAAUAAAGAUUAUAGCGGAGUAUGCUGCUAAAGCUCUCCCCCUUAAUAAUAAGGGAAUAUCACACCCUCUGUAUUUGGAUAUACCUAUAUAAGUGCUUUCAUCGGAACACGCAACUUGUCGAGUGUUUAGUUUAACCGCACCCCGUGGAUCCGCGUUUAUGCUCCUAAUCGGACUGGAUUAUGGUCAGUUUCGUCGUGUCGCUCGUAAACCAUGUCACGAGACAUAUGUUAUUCUUCGUGCAUUCGAUCGCCACGUGCAAUAUUUUCUUUCGUUUUCCAGCGAAACAUAACAAGACUCAUUGCACGUGUCGUUGAAAACGUAAUCCGUUCGAAAUCUGUCUUCAAUGUCUGUAUAAUCGAUCAUUGAAUCUUCAGUUUCCAUCUGUUUCGCACGAACCUAGAUUUUUAUUCUCUGUCCAAUUAAAUACGUAAUCUUCUUAUCCCACCAUCUUGUCAGAUAUUUUGACUUUGUACUACAUAAAAAAAAAAAAAAAAAAAAAAGAAAAAACAAAA